GAGAUCGAAGCACCGUUUUAUUUUAUGUGCGUUAAUCAUAUAAAGGAUGCCCAACUGCCUUUAGCACGAUUUUAUGUGCAGCAUUUGAAUAUCAUUGGAUGACAAUGGUUUUUAAAAACCUUGCAUAUACAGUAUAGUGAGAAUUUAUUUAUAACAUAUUUGACCUGCCAAUAAUUUUUAUGUGCAACCAUUCAUAGUUGAUAACCAUCAAUGCUGGCACAUAAAAUUUAAAAGUGCACAAUAAAAGAGAAAAGGCUUUGAGCAACAAAAUGGUCGUGGUGGUUGAUGGCAGAUCGAUGGGAAAUUCAUUUGACGCAAACAAAAUAUUAUGUCAGGAUGCAGUCAAACAAAAUUUGGUACACAGAUGUAUGCAUGGGAUAAAAAGUGGUUAGCGAAGCAGAUCCCGUAGCUGCCGUGACGCAGAUCCCGCACUUUAGCAUGAUUCGAACAAGCUUCAUCCGGAUAGCGCAUUACAUCCCCCACUGGAUAUUUCCGCCUUGUCGCUUAGUGUUGAAUUCCAGCACUUCCACAAUGAUGUACUGCAAGGAUUCUAACCCAAGGAAUCAUUUUUGCAUUCGUAUACAUAUAAUGAAGCUAACAUGAUGAUACUUUUUUGCUCAGGGAAAUCUAGAAAACUUCCUAGACCGGACCGGGAAUCGAACCCAGCCGCCUUCCCGAUGGUUAUGGCCUUUUUGCA